rnacentral:lncRNA from 1 species
UGUGCCCGUGCGCAUGCGCACUGGGAAAGAAAAUGGACUCAAUGGGAGGACUUGCGCAGAUACCAGGACCCUCUGCUCUGAGCCACAAUGAAGAACUUUCCCAGACUAGGCAAGCCCAGGGCUCAUUGGAAAUAUGCUAAUGACCCUGCCAGACUCCAGCAUGAUGAGCAAUUUGGAACGCUGCCCUCUUGCCCACUGUGAUGGAGUGGCUCGAAGCUAUGCAGCUACCAAGAUGACCACGCCUGGCACCUAUCAAGGGCCUUUUGAUAGACUCUGUAGAGUAACUCUGACUGCUGAUCACAACUGCGACCCUCUUCAGCUGGAAGUAGCCAGAAUGGUCUUCACCCUUUGCUCCCUCACAGCAGUUAGGGGUACUUCUUCAGAGGAGGAAUAUUAUAGAUAGGUAAGUUAAUUAGAUAUCUUGUUGGCAGUUAGACAGGGCCUCCCUUAAGGUACCAGCUCUCCAGGAGCCAACACAGCAAGGAACCAACAUGGAAAACAAUUGAGGCACAUUCACUGGUUAGCAUUAUAAAAAGGAAAAGAAGUGCUACUUCCCCUAGAGAUAGACAGCAGUGACUAAUGUUCUAAAUGGGAAAUUCCCUGUAUGUGACUUGUCUUCCCAUUUGACCCCCAUUUAAUCAAUAUUACCUGGUUAACUGUACUUGUAAUCUUAUUGGUUGGUCUUGGUUUUGUCCCACCUCAUGCCCACCUUGAAAAUUUCCACUGGGUUUUAUAGUUUUGUCUCACUUUGUACCCGCCUCACCACAUGGCUUUGCUGUAUAAAACAUCUUUGAAAAGUGAGGUAGGUGGGCAACCCACUUUCUGGUCCCCCUUCUGUCUCUCUUAGAAGUUUUCUGUCUCUCAAUAAAUUUCCCCUACCCCUAAAAAGAAAAAAAAAAAAAAAGAGGAGAGGUUUAACUUGGCUUACAGUUUCGGAGGAUUCUUUCCACGGGAGGCUGGUUCCAAGGCAGAAAUGUCAUGGCAGAGGGGCCUAGCAGGGCAGAGAUGCUUAGUUCAGUGCAGCUGGGAAGGAGAACAGGGGAACAGUCUCAGCGAGGAAGGUACUAGGGACUAGGUAUAGACCCUAAUGUCACACAUCCAAGAUCCACAAUGUACCCAGAAAUGUGCUUUACUAAUCCUCUAGGUGGCUCCCAAACCAAUCAAAUUGAAAUUUCACCUCAGUCAUACACAAUUUAAAGAUACCAUU